UUCUCUUCUCAAAUGUGCCUCAUAAGAUUGUGAAGCCCCUCAGCGGGGGAGGUAGACCUGAAUGGAGGUGAGUCAAGGUGAGCGGCUCCACUCAGGAUACCGAAUUUGAUUGCUGGAAAAACGAAGGCUUGCCACGUGUAAAAGAAUCUGAGAUGCCUGUUCCGAAGUCUCUGUGCCUCUCAGCAGGGGGAUUACUGGGAAGGGAAGAUGAACCUCUAAACUAAGUUUUAUAAUGGGGAAAGGGAAAAAAGUCAACCAAAACAAAGAAGACAUGCCUACUUUUGCUCCUGGGUAGUGGAAAAUUCACAGCACUGUGGGAUAAAUGGCCUGAGUCUGUGACCCUGUGGUGAGCAUGACAUGCUGCUCCUGUCACAUGGUUUUCAGCUGGUGAUGAGCCUAAGGUUUCUGGCAAACUCAUUUCCGUGAAGUCUAUUACCCUCACAGGGAGAAAAACUUCUCCAGAAAAUUCACACGUGUUAAAUAAUCACAAUUGUAGACAUCCCCUGCUUUCGGUUUCUUUUUUGUACCACAUCUGUGCCGGGUGCCCUCCGAAGCAAGAAGAGUUACAGAUGGUUGUGAGCUGCCAUGUGGAUGCUGAGAGAUGAAUCUGGGUCCAAUGCAAGAGCAGCCAUUGCUCUUAAACACUGAGCCAUCUGAUUAACCCCAUGACUUAGGGGUUUUACCUGACUCUCAUGACUUGUUCAUGUGUCCCGCAAAAAGGAUGCUCCAAAGUCACAAUAAUACUGUGUGUAUUUAUGAGGGACAGGUCUCAGGAGCCAAAGUUCAGGCUUGAAAGCCAUUUUUUUUCUGGAUAGUUCUUCAUAUAAUUUCUUUUAGCAUCAACAAGUAGAUAACAUGAAUAGACUUUUGCCUUAAAAAGAGGUGACUGACUUGUUUUCAAUGUGUGUAUUCAAAGCUUAAAAAUUUCAACACAGAAGCACAUAGAUCUACUUGGGCUUGUCUCAACUCAUAGUUUGAGGGUUCAUAGUCCCUUAUCAUGGGGAAGGCAUGAUGGGAAUAGUGAUUCUAGCUAAGGCAGUGGGAGCAUGAGGCAGUGGGGUCAAAGUGCACCCACAGUCCUUAGUGCAGUGGUGCCCUCUUCUGGCCGCCGUAGACACUGCACUCAUGAGCACAAACCCACACUGAGAUACACACAUCUAAAAAUAAAAUAAUCUCUUUUAAAGGUUAGGGGAGAGGUAGAUUGAGAAAAGAUGGUGGAAAUUCAAGAGAUUACUUAGGAGAAAGAAUAAGGUAGGGCAAUCCUGUGGCUUGGUAGAGUAGAGGUCCAAAUUCCAGUACCACAAGUGGGUUAUGUGGGCAUAAUUGGUGUUUCCCUUAGGGGUUCUGUGAGUUUUGAAAAUGGAUCCUUGCUCAAUCCUGAACCCUUGGAUGAGGGUCUGUGUGGAUGGUGGCCAUCACUUAAGUAGUUUUUGUCCUCAAUGUCUCCUGUU